AGCCUAACUCUAGCCCAACCAAUCCUAACCAACUCUCCUAAAUCCCCAAAACAAAACAUUUAAAUCUGACCUAGUAUAGGCGAUAGAAAAGUCCCCACAGGAGCUAUAGAGCUUACGUACCGUAAGGGAAAGAUGAAAUAACAAUGAUAAACCAAGCCCUAAAAAAGCAAAGAUCAACCCUUGUACCUUUUGCAUCAUGAUUUAGCAAGUACAACCAAGCAAAACGACACUUUAAGCUUGCCACCCCGAAACCCAAGCGAGCUACUCACAGGCAGCUAUUUCUUGAGCGAACCCAUCUCUGUUACAAAAGAGUGGGAAGACCUGUUAGUAGAGGUGAAAAGCCAAUCGAGCUGGGUGAUAGCUGGUUGUCUGUGAAACGAAUCUAAGUUCUCCUUUGAACUUUCUAUAAGGACAUCAACCCAACCCCCACGAAACCAAAAAUCAAAGGUAAAAUAAAGGAGGUACAGCUCCUUUAAAACAGAAUACACUCUUCCCUAGCGGAUAAGUCCCAAAACCUAUACCAACCUUGUAGGCCUUUAAGCAGCCAUCAACAAAAAAUGCGUCAAAGCUUCUCCCUCAAAAAUCCAAACCCCUCCACGACUCCCUUACCCCUAACAGACCACCCUAUUACAAAUAGGAGAAUCCAUGCUAAAAUGAGUAACUUGGUUAACUCCUCUACGGCGCAAACUUACAUCCAUAUUAUUAUUAACAAACCAAGAUAUAUAAUAACCCCAACAAGCCCCAUCUAUCUACUUCAACUGUUAACCCAACUCCAGGAGCGCCCUAAAGACGAUUAAAAUCUGUAAAAGGAACUAGGCAAACACAAGGCCCGACUGUUUACCAAAAACAUAGCCUUCAGCAAAACAAGUAUUGAAGGUGACGCCUGCCCAGUGACAUUAAGUUUAACGGCCGCGGUAUCCUAACCGUGCAAAGGUAGCACAAUCAAUUGUCCCAUAAAUCGAGACUCGUAUGAAUGGCUAAACGAGGUCUUAACUGUCUCUUACAGAUAAUCAGUGAAAUUGAUCUCCCUGUGCAAAAGCAGGGAUAAUAACACAAGACAAGAAGACCCUGUGGAACUUUAAAAUCAGCAGCCACCUCUUCAUCAACAUCACCCUAACAGGAUCACACCCACUAUCAAGACUACCCUGGCAUGCAUUUUUAGGUUGGGGCGACCUUGGAGAAAAACAAACCCUCCAAAAAUAAGACCACUCCUCUUAACCAAGACCAACCAAUCAACGUGCUAACAGCAACCAGACCCAAUACAAUUGACCAAUGAACCAAGCUACCCCAGGGAUAACAGCGCAAUCUCCUCCAAGAGCCCUCAUCGACGAGGAGGUUUACGACCUCGAUGUUGGAUCAGGACAUCCUAGUGGUGCAGCCGCUACUAAGGGUUCGUUUGUUCAACGAUUAACAGUCCUACGUGAUCUGAGUUCAGACCGGAGUAAUCCAGGUCGGUUUCUAUCUGUGAUAAACUCUUUCCAGUACGAAAGGACCGAAAGAAUGAGACCAAUACCACCGUCAUGUCUCCGCCUUAAGUAGUGAAUCCAACUAAACUACCAAAAGCUCACCCACAUUCACUGUUCUAGAA
rnacentral:rRNA from 1 species